UACAGAGGUCUCGAGCGUUAGGCGGAAUCACUGGGCUUAAAGCGUGUGUAGGCGGAUCGGUAAGUACCUUGUGAAAUCCCACAGCUUAACUGUGGAACUGCUUGGUAUACUGCCAGUCUUGAGCCACUUAGGGGCUACCGGAACAAAUGGUGGAGCGGUGAAAUGCGUAGAUAUCAUUUGGAACGCCAAUGGUGAAAACAGGUAGCUGGGAGUGUGCUGACGCCGAGACACGAAAGCCAGGGGAGCAAACGGG
rnacentral:rRNA from 1 species